AUACAUGUUUUCACUGACACUGAAAAGCUGUUUCACAGAGAUGGAGGAAUGGGGAGGUGAAGGGGUAGGGGCUACAGAGGGAAAACCAGAAUCCCCAGAAAGCAGCAUUUAUUGAGCAGGGUGGAGGGGGGGAGCGCACAAAAUGUUCCACCUUUUUGUUUUGAGUUUUACUGACUGGACAAGAGGAGAUAACAUCCUGCAAUUGUGUACGUAAUUCAUCCUCCAACCACAAGGGAGAGGAAAGCAACGGAGCGCAUCGUUCAAUUCUAUCGGUGUAUGGGCUGGGCAGCUGCCUGCUGACUCCUGAUUGCAGAGAGACGGCUAAGCUGAGAGGCUCCAGGAGGUAGAAGUGACACUGGAUUCCGAGAAGCUGCUUGGAAGAGAGGCUCGACACAUCAAAUACUACUCGGCAAACUCUCUCUCCCUC